rnacentral:pre_miRNA from 14 species
UGUGUGUGUGUGUGUGUGUGUGUGUGUGUGUGUACAUAUAUACAUGCAUACAUACAUACAUACAUACAUACAUACAUACAUAC